rnacentral:rRNA from 1 species
UACAGAGGUCCCGAGCGUUGUUCGGAUUCACUGGGCGUAAAGCGUGCGUAGGUGGUUUGUUAAGUCUGAUGUGAAAGCCCUGGGCUCAACCUGGGAAUUGCAUUGGAUACUGGCAGGCUAGAGUGCGGUAGAGGAUGGCGGAAUUCCCGGUGUAGCAGUGAAAUGCGUAGAGAUCGGGAGGAACAUCUGUGGCGAAGGCGGCCAUCUGGACCAGCACUGACACUGAGGCACGAAAGCGUGGGGAGCAAACAGG